rnacentral:rRNA from 1 species
GAGCACUCCCACCUCCUUGAGAGGGUAAGGCUCCCAGUAGACGACUGGGUUGAUAGGCCGGAUAUGGAAGCCCUGUGAGGGGUGGAGUUGACCGGUACUAAUAGGCCGAGGGCUUGUCCUC